GGGCUAAUACCGGAUAAUAUUUUGAACCGCAUGGUUCAAUAGUGAAAGACGGUUUCGGCUGUCACUUAUAGAUGGACCCGCGCCGUAUUAGCUAGUUGGUAAGGUAACGGCUUACCAAGGCGACGAUACGUAGCCGACCUGAGAGGGUGAUCGGCCACACUGGAACUGAGACACGGUCCAGACUCCUACGGGAGGCAGCAGUAGGGAAUCUUCCGCAAUGGGCGAAAGCCUGACGGAGCAACGCCGCGUGAGUGAUGAAGGUCUUCGGAUCGUAAAACUCUGUUGUUAGGGAAGAACAAAUUUGUUAGUAACUGAACAAGUCUUGACGGUACCUAACCAGAAAGCCACGGCUAACUACGUGCCAGCAGCCGCGGUAAUACGUAGGUGGCAAGCGUUAUCCGGAAUUAUUGGGCGUAAAGCGCGCGUAGGCGGUUUCUUAAGUCUGAUGUGAAAGCCCACGGCUCAACCGUGGAGGGUCAUUGGAAACUGGGAAACUUGAGUGCAGAAGAGGAGAGUGGAAUUCCAUGUGUAGCGGUGAAAUGCGCAGAGAUAUGGAGGAACACCAGUGGCGAAGGCGGCUCUCUGGUCUGUAACUGACGCUGAUGUGCGAAAGCGUGGGGAUCAAACAGGAUUAGAUACCCUGGUAGUCCACGCCGUAACGAUGAGUGCUAAGUGUUAGGGGGUUUCCGCCCCUUAGUGCUGCAGCUAACGCAUUAAGCACUCCGCCUGGGGAGUACGACCGCAAGGUUGAAACUCAAGGAAUUGACGGGGACCCGCACAAGCGGUGGAGCAUGUGGUUUAAUUCGAAGCAACGCGAAGAACCUUACCAAAUCUUGACAUCCUUUGACCGCUCUAGAGAUAGAGUCUUCCCCUUCGGGGGACAAAGUGACAGGUGGUGCAUGGUUGUCGUCAGCUCGUGUCGUGAGAUGUUGGGUUAAGUCCCGCAACGAGCGCAACCCUUAAGCUUAGUUGCCAUCAUUAAGUUGGGCACUCUAGGUUGACUGCCGGUGACAAACCGGAGGAAGGUGGGGAUGACGUCAAAUCAUCAUGCCCCUUAUGAUUUGGGCUACACACGUGCUACAAUGGAUAAUACAAAGGGCAGCGAAUCCGCGAGGCCAAGCAAAUCCCAUAAAAUUAUUCUCAGUUCGGAUUGUAGUCUGCAACUCGACUACAUGAAGCUGGAAUCGCUAGUAAUCGUAGAUCAGCAUGUAUUACACUC
rnacentral:rRNA from 1 species